rnacentral:tRNA from 1 species
GUCUCUAUAGUGAAAUUUUAUAUCACAUUACUUUUUCAAGGUAAAGUUGAAUUUAUAUUCUAGAGAUA